rnacentral:tRNA from 1 species
UCCUCUGUAGUUCAGUCGGUAGAACGCCGGACUGUUAAUCCGUAUGUCACUGGUUCGAGUCCAGUCAGAGGAGCCA